GAUCGCUGCUUCGCCCGACCGCGGUCGUGACACAGAUGAAAAGAACAGUGAUAUAUCAAAAGUGGAAUGGUCACGCAAGCAAUGCAAUGACGAGGACACACUGAAUUACGCUGCCCUGAACCUUAAGAAGCCAAAACCCAGGAGACAGAAGAAAGACAGGAAUAAUGACACUCUGUAUUCUGACCUCCGCUACAGAGAUUAUGAAUAAAGAUGCUUCUCAUUCAUGUCAGUCACACAGAGUGUUCAGG